UUUCGCAAUGCCCGAAAGGGUGACGAAGCGACGCCGCGUGCGGGAAGAAGGCCUUCGGGUUGUAAACCGCUGUCGGGAGUUAAGAAAUGUAAGGAUGUUAAUAUCAUCUUUACUUGACUAAGGCUCCGGAGGAAGCCACGGCUAACUCUGUGCCAGCAGCCGCGGUAAUACAGAGGCGGCAAGCGUUGUUCGGAAUUAUUGGGCGUAAAGAGCACGUAGGCGGCUAUGUAAGUCGGUUGUGAAAGCCUUCCGCUCAACGGGAGAACAGCAUCCGAUACUGCAUGGCUUGAGUGCGGGAGGGGAGAGUGGAACUUCUGGUGGAGCGGUGAAAUGCGUAGAUAUCAGAAGGAACGCCGGCGGCGAAAGCGGCUCUCUGGCCCAUAACUGACGCUGAGUGUGCGAAAGCUAGGGGAGCAAACGGGAUUAGAUACCCCGGUAGUCCUAGCCGUAAACGAUGGGCACUAAGUAGAGGGGUUUUA
rnacentral:rRNA from 1 species